UACGGAGGGAGCUAGCGUUGUUCGGAAUUACUGGGCGUAAAGCGCGCGUAGGCGGCUUUGUAAGUUAGAGGUGAAAGCCCGGGGCUCAACCCCGGAACUGCCUUUAAGACUGCAUCGCUUGAAUCCGGGAGAGGUGAGUGGAAUUCCGAGUGUAGAGGUGAAAUUCGUAGAUAUUCGGAAGAACACCAGUGGCGAAGGCGGCUCACUGGACCGGUAUUGACGCUGAGGUGCGAAAGCGUGGGGAGCGAACAGG
rnacentral:rRNA from 1 species